rnacentral:rRNA from 1 species
GCCUACGGGGCGCAGCAGUGGGGAAUAUUGCACAAUGGGGGAAACCCUGAUGCAGCAACACCGCGUGAAGGAAGACGGUUUUCAGAUUGUAAACUUCUGUUCUUAGUGAAGAAGAAUGACGGUAGCUAAGGAGCAAGCCACGGCUAACUACGUGCCAGCAGCCGCGGUAAUACGUAGGUGGCAAGCGUUGUCCGGAAUUACUGGGUGUAAAGGGAGCGCAGGCGGGAAGCCAAGUCAGCUGUGAAAACUACGGGCUUAACUUGUAGACUGCAGUUGAAACUGGUUUUCUUGAGUGAAGUAGAGGU